GGGGGGAGGCCGGAUCCUGGGCUGUGUCCUGGCACCCUGUUGGAUUCGCGCUCCGGCCGCGCAGCCCCCU
rnacentral:pre_miRNA from 1 species